GACGAACGCUGGCGGCGUGCCUAAUACAUGCAAGUCGAACGCAGUGGGGACGGGUGAGUAACCCGUGGGUAACCUCCCAUCAGAGGGGAUAACACUUGGAAACAGGUGCUAAACCGAUACUGAUGGAUGGACCCGCGGUGGAUUAGCGAGUUGGUGGGGUAACGGCUCACCAAGGCCACGAUGCAUAGCCGACCUGAGAGGGUGAUCGGCCACACUGGGACUGAGACACGGCCCAGACUCCUACGGGAGGCAGCAGUAGGGAAUAUUCGGCAAUGGACGAAAGUCUGACCGAGCCACGCCGCGUGAGUGAAGAAGGUCUUCGGAUUGUAAAACUCUGUUGUCGGAGAAGCGGUAUCUAACCAGAAAGCAACGGCUAACUCCGUGCCAGCAGCCGCGGUAAUAC
rnacentral:rRNA from 1 species